UACGUAGGGUGCAAGCGUUGUCCGGAAUUAUUGGGCGUAAAGAGCUCGUAGGUGGCCUGUCGCGUCGGCUGUGAAAACUCGGGGCUCAACUCCGAGCUUGCAGUCGAUACGGGCAGGCUAGAGUUCGGCAGGGGAGACUGGAAUUCCUGGUGUAGCGGUGAAAUGCGCAGAGUAUCAGGAGGAACACCGGUGGCGAAGGGCGGGUCUCUGGGCCGAUACUGACGCUGAGGAGCGAAAGCGUGGGGAGCGAACAGG
rnacentral:rRNA from 1 species